GAUGAACGCUGGCGGCGUGCCUAAUACAUGCCAGUCGAGCGAACAGACGAGGAGCUUGCUCCUCUGACGUUAGCGGCGGACGGGUGAGUAACACGUGGAUAACCUACCUAUAAGACUGGGAUAACUUCGGGAAACCGGAGCUAAUACCGGAUAAUAUAUUGAACCGCAUGGUUCAAUAGUGAAAGACGGUUUUGCUGUCACUUAUAGAUGGAUCCGCGCCGCAUUAGCUAGUUGGUAAGGUAACGGCUUACCAAGGCAACGAUGCAUAGCCGACCUGAGAGGGUGAUCGGCCACACUGGAACUGAGACACGGUCCAGACUCCUACGGGAGGCAGCAGUAGGGAAUCUUCCGCAAUGGGCGAAAGCCUGACGGAGCAACGCCGCGUGAGUGAUGAAGGUCUUCGGAUCGUAAAACUCUGUUAUUAGGGAAGAACAAAUGUGUAAGUAACUAUGCACGUCUUGACGGUACCUAAUCAGAAAGCCACGGCUAACUACGUG
rnacentral:rRNA from 1 species